rnacentral:rRNA from 1 species
CCCUUAGAUGUUCUGGGCCGCACGCGCGCUACAAUGACGCAUUCAACGAGUUUUUAACCUUGGUCGAGAGAUCCGGGAAAUCUUUUGAACGUGCGUCGUGCUGGGGAUAGAUUAUUGCAAUUAUUAAUCUUCAACGAGGAAUUCCUAGUAAACGCAAGUCAUCAGCUUGCAUUGAUUACGUCCCUGCCCUUUGUACACACCGCCCGUCGCUCCUACCGAUUGGAUGGUCCGGUGAACUUCAGGGAUUGAGGCCAUGGUGAGAUUUCUCAUCUGGCUUUGAGAACUGACGUAAACCUUAUCAUCUAGAGGAAGGAGAAGUCGUAACA